AGAGCAUCACCCUCCUCCCCUCCACCUACACCCCCACCUCUACAGGAGUGUGUGUGGAGAAUCAGAAAUGUCUGCUGCUGCGGUCCCCAGAGUGAACACAACAGAUGGGGAGGAGGAGCUUCAUCCUUCAAGGCGGAGCUAGGUCCACCCAGGCGUUUUGGACAGCUGAAUGGUUCCCAAGGCAACACUGCAGUAAUGGCUCCGC